AGUUAAUGAGCUUGAACAAGCAUAUGUUUUGAAAACAUAAUAUAGGAACAAAAAUUUCCUAUUAACUU
rnacentral:tRNA from 4 species